CGUCCUCCUCUCUUUUCACUUGCAUUCAGAAUACAAUUGAAGUCACCUAUCACCGUGGUCGGAAAACCCUGGGCAACUAGAUUAGUAAUCUCAUCCCAGAGGACUCUCCUAUUCCUAUAAUUGGUGCUCGCAUACACCCCAUAUAAUAUCCAUGGAGCAGCAUUAGGUUCUGUAACAAUCAUUAUAACCUGUUGGGGGCAGUUGUGGAAGACAUCACUGUCGCCGCCUCCCGUU
rnacentral:lncRNA from 1 species